AGACUAGAAUGGCUAACCUUUAAGGUUUGGAUUUGGAGACUAGAAUGGCUAACCUUUAAGGUUUGGAUUUGGAGGCUAGAAUGGCUAACCUUUAAGAAUCAGAGAGAAACCUUUUGUAUUUUGAAGCAACCGACUCUUUUUUUUGGCUGCACCAGUGACAUAUGGAAGUUCCCAGGCCAGAGAUCGAAUCCGAGCCAUAGCUGUUGCAACGCUGGAGCCUUAACCCACUGUGCCACAGCAGGAACUCCAAGGCAGCUGAUUUUUUAUUAUUGUUUUUGCAAAGGCUCUAAAGCUUCUCUAAAAUCAUCUCCUAGAGUCAGAGCUUCUCUGAGUCUUCCCCCAGUGCUUACAAAGAUGCAUGAAAUCAGUAGUCAUUCUGCCACCCCGAUUGUGUCCCACUCUCAGCCCCACCGUCUGGCUGGUGACGAUUCUCUUUAUCAAUCCCAAGGCAGCAGCUGAACCCCGUGCAGGAUCUGGCAUCUCCCCCCACCCCACGCCCCGCCCCCUUGUCCUGUUCGAUCCCCUUGAAUGUAAAUUGUCAGCCCUGCAGUGACAGACACAGCAAGUUGCAAAGGGAGGGAGGCGGUGCUAUUUAUAAUGCAGUGGAGUUCACCCUCAGAACACAGCCAUUUUUUUCCAGGCCACCUGCCAGAGCCCACAUUCCCCAGGCUCCAUAUAUGGGCCUCCCCACAGGCCCCCACGGCCAGAGCCUCACCUCUGAGGGGACUAAGGCAGCCAGGCGAGUCAGGAAGGUGGAGGCCACGUCUUAAACACCUGGCCUCUUCUUCUCUUCUCCGAGCAUCCGGAACAAAUCAGACCCACAGAAAAUCUUCACUCAUGUCCCUCAGCCAAGGCACCCUUUACCUGCGAGCUCUUUUCAGCCUGGGACGGAUUCCUGAGUCUUUCGAUUCCUUGGGCUCUGUAACCCUCCCUGAGAGGCCACAAUCCCUUAUCUGUGGAGGUCCCAGCCGUCCCCACUGUUACCCAUUUGCUUGCGACAAACAUGGGGCUGGCACUUCGGCAGGGGAAAAGCAGCAGCAGGAGUUGAUCAAUUCCUAAGCAACGGAAGAUCCUGUUUUCAUGCAAACGUCCCCGGCAUUAAAACAAAAACAAAUUCUUCCCAGGGCGCGUCCUGGAUGCCAAGUCUUCUUGCAAGACGCAUUUUGAAGCAGGGUUUUGCGCCUGCGUGGGAGACUAACGGGGGCUGGGAGGAGAGCUGCAUGCCAACUGCGACUCUAUAGGCUCUCAUUUAAAACUCACAGCCACCCCCUGAGCUAGCCACAGCCGGAUCCCGAUUUGACAGACGAGGAAACAGGCAGAGGGAAAUGAGGAAACAUGUCCAGGGUCAAUCAGCUGGCGAGUGGCAGCCAGGGGAUGUGACCAGGUCUGACCGGAGCUGUUUUGUUUUGGACACAGGCACAAUGCGACUGUAUUCACCUUACAGAGACCAGGGGGUGACCAUGAACAUUUCAAGAUGACUAGAGGCGAAAUCUUUUUCUCCUUAGUGUGCUUUUCUCAUCACAUAAAUAAAAAACUGUACUUUUCUCAACAAAGAGAAAGAAGGAAUGAACCUGGGUACCACUUCUCUUCACACGAUCAACCGGUCCUGGGUAUGACUCUGGAUGAAAUGUUAGAACUGACUAAAUGCUGUGGAGUCUGUGAUGCCUACAAAAUGCUCAGAAGCAUCCCUGAUGACUUGGCUGUGGCCACCUUCUCAGCUCUCUUGCCUCUGAGGCCAGUAGCAGAUAAAGGGAGGGUGACAGAAAGAGAUGUAAGAAACAAAUGCAGGGCCCUUAGGUGGAAAGGCAACAAGUGCCCUUGAGUUCUGAAGAGGUGGGGAUCACUGAGGGCUUCCUGGAGGAGGAAUUUAUUCCAUAGCAACUCAGAGGCUUUAUAACAGACAGCUGUGGCCUGGUCCUGCAGGAGCUGGACGCCCACCAACUCUGGCAUUACUGGAACACUUCCGGGGACACUGGGCUGGCCCAGUGGUUAUGGACUGUGCCCACGGGCCAUCUAGCCUCCAGCUGGCUCCUGAAGCUUUGUUCUUCAGGAUCAUGGGGUUCAAAGACAACAUGCAUUGAUGGGGUAAGGGCAGACCACAAGAGUCACUUUUGGCAAAUGACCAGGCCUGCAGCACUUUUGUGCUGCAAGAUCAUCAGGUACUGUCCCCUUCCUGCUGAUUCCUAGUUCACGGCUGACGGUCCAGCCAAGACUCCAGCUCAAACCUCUUUCCUCUUGCCUCUGCAACCCUCCGUGCAGCCCCCUUUCUCACACUGAGGCAGUGGCUGCACUACGUGCUCAGAAGCACCCAGCGAUCCUGGGAUUGGGAGAUACAGAGAGCAUAUCUCCUGGAGGCAGCCUUCUCAAGGUAACCAGCAAGCGAAUCCAGGGCAGGGAGGAGCUUCCUCCUGGUGCAUCUCCCUUCCUAGUGUUACUGCUAUUACAGCAACUGGGACUGAGCAGGCAAAGGUCUGGUGCUAGGAAUGGUGAGUAGGCAAGUCUGGCAGGAGAAAAGGGCCCAUAAAGGGACUUUGUGGUAAUUAAAAGUGACAGGAACCAGCUGAGUGGAAAGAGCAUGGACUCUGUGUACAAAAGACCUGGGCUGGCAUCCAACACUGUCGCCGUGUCAGGGGUGGAGAGUGCUCCCCAGUAUUCACCGUCUCCUUUUCCUCCCUGGGCAGCAGCUGGACUACAUUUCCCAGGCUUCUUUGUGGUGACAAGUGGUCAUGUGACAGCUUUUUGGCCAAUGGAAUUCGAAUAGAAAUGAUGUGAGCUCUGGGCCCUAAAAACCUCCCACUUGUGGUUCUGUCUUUUCUCUGUCCACCAACUGAAUGGAAAGUGCUCCCAAGACUAGAGGGAGACAGAACCACAAGAGGGAGGAGCCUGGGUCCCUGAAUCACUGUGUGGAACACCACGUGCCAGACAUACACUCUGAAUUGUGGUCUGAGCCGGAAAUAGCCUUCUAGGGUGUGAAGCUAUUAAAAUUUGGUGAUUGAUAAAGCUGUUAGUUCAACCGGACUAGUAUAAUGUUUUACUUGCCACGUGACUUUGGAUGAGUUUCUUAACCUUCCAAAGCUUAGAUCCCCUCAUCUGUAAAAUGAGAAUUAAAAACAAAACCUUCCUGAGAAUGACUGGGCUAGCAUUUGUAAAGUUCCUCCAACCAAGGCUCCUUCAUGAUUUUUGUGAGCCCUAGGCUUUUGCCUUUGUGGGUCCCUUCCUGCAUUUAAAACGAACAAAUAAACAAACAAACAACCUCAAAAAUUAGGUUGUAAGAUUACACUGGCAUAAAGACAAAUAUAUUCCAGGCUGGAUUAAUCAUUAUGUUUAUCAUAUUUAUUAUUUUAAUAGCUUAUUUUAUAUUCAUAAUUAUUAUAUGCAUGUAUUUCUUCUAAUUUUAAAAGAAAUUUAAAUGAAACAUAUUCUAGGGCCCUAAAACUAUAGUGGGUCCCCAGCACCAUCCCUAUCGUAUCUAAGGAAGAAAUGGAUCUUUCUUACUGCAUGAUGCCUGGCCUGUGAUGCAUGGAAUAAAUAACUACCACAGAUAUUUUUAAAAAAUAAUAGGAAGAUGGAGACAUGAAAUAGCCACAAAUGGUUACGUAGCCCUUUCACACCUCAUUUCCUCCAACGCUCACAUCCACUGUAUGAGAUGGUUCCAUCUAUAUUUUCCAAAGCAAAGGUCCAGGAGAUUAAGUGUCAUGCUCAAGAGGGGUAAGAACCUCUACGGCUCGGCGCUUUCUGCCUGCCGCCUCAUGCCAGGCACAAUGCUAGACGCCUGUCCUACUGCAUCGCUUUUAAGUUUCAUGACCCUGUGAUGACAUGGGUCUUCUUUCUUAUCCCCAUUUUACAACUGAAAGAAGAAAUCAAUGCUGAGGACAAGUGGCUGAGCUGAGAACAGAAACCACUGCUGGUGCCAAGACUAAGGCUUGCUCCAUCACCUCACCUUUCCAUCUCCCAAGAGCUGUGUCCUGAGCACUGAUAACUGGCAGUAUCUGUGGGGGUGUCGGUCACCCCAGCACCUCCUUUCACAGAGCAGAGAGGGACUGGCUCAGGGCUGACGUCCAAACACAUCAUGCCAGAUUAUACUCGGGCUUUCUCAUUCUCUACCCAAAUGUUCUCCUUCAAAGGUCUAAUUAUAGUGACUUCUAUUUUCUUGUAAAUAAUCACAUCUGUCAUAACUGAUUUCACUGAUCCAAGGCUUCAAGUUGGCAGUCUUGGAGGCCUGAGCCAAUGUGUCAAUUAUGCCAAGCGGGCUGUAAGUGAAAGUUGCACGAAAUGGAAGAGAGAGGAAAAAAACUCGCUGCAGGCAUAUAUAUAGAUGGUGGGGACCAAGACGUGCUUUUUCACAAUAACAAUAUCAACACAAACUCCCAAAGGCGGCCAGUGGAGUCAAUGAGUGAAACUGACACAGCCGGCCAGAUCCCAGAGAAGGAAAACCAUCUUUUUAGUGGAGACUCGGUCUUAGAAACAGGUUUUACUAAUAUCCUUUGCACCUAAAGUGACGACGCCCCCCCCCACCCCGCCCCGGAACGUGCCAUAGCUCUUUGUGCUUGUUUUCAAGAGGGAAGACAGAAUACAGGGAUCCCUCCCAUGAAAGGGUCCCGUAUCUGAAGGGCUGUGUUUUGAGUGCAGCUGCUCAGCCAGCAUAGCAUCUGGACUUGGCGACCCGUCUCUCUCCACCUACCUUAUCAGUAUUGUGACUAAGCAAGUCAUUUCACUUUCCUCAAUUCGUCUCAGCUUCCUCACCUAUAAAAUGAGGACAACCUACAACUCCCAUGGGGCCGAAUGAUACAAUGACCGUGUGUGGCAGCCUCUGGCAAGUGUUCACACGGCAUAAAUGCGAAUCACCAUCACGAUGAUGCAUAGAUCAGUGUGUAUGGAGUCCUGCUUUCAAUCCGUGGGGGUGGUUUUUUUCCCUCCUCAAAAAAUUCUAAGUAGAAAGAGUCGUGUUUUAAGUCGGAGAGGGGAUGGGAGAAGGGAUGAUGGGAUCUACGUGGGACUUUUUUCAUAGGGAGUUGUUUGAAAGUCAUCUUGCCAAUUAAGCUCCGCAAGUCCCUGUGUCUGACGGGAAGUUCCAAGAAAAGAGUGUUUUCUAGGUAAGAACAGGGAGAAAUGAAAGGCAGCUCUCAUCUACUUCCUCAGGUGCUUCGAGGGAAGGGACACAUGCUUCUGGUGACUCAAAUCCUGCAGCAGGUGUAACCUCCUUUGGGUCUGGCCAACCCAUGGAGCAGAGGCGCUAAGAGCACAGACUUUGAGCUUUGAGUCCAGCUCAAUGCUCCACUCAUGGGACGGAUUUGGGCACGUUAUCUCACCUUCGUGUGCUUCAAUUUCCUCACCUAUAAAAUGAGGACCAUAACCAUACACUACCUACCCCUGAGGGUGGUGGUGAGGAAUAAAGGAAUGAACACGUCAGUGGCUGAUAAGAGGACCAGGAACACAGGACGCAAUCAGUACCUGUCAAUGGACAUAUUCCAGCAUGACCGCAUCCAGCAUUUAUUAACCUGUGUGUUUAACAAGUGAGUUCUCUUUCAGAUUUUCCACCUCCACCUUCUUCCUAAGAAGGAAAUUCUGAGUACCGUCUAUAAGACGGUUGAACCACUACGUUGUACAUGUGAAACUAAUAUUAUAUUGAGGAUCAACUAGGCUUCAAUAAAAAGAAGGAGAUUCUGCAGUCCACACAGAGAAAACCUGGCAGCAAAGCACAAUGCUAAGAGCGCCGUGAUCUACAAGGGAAUCUUCAGGAGGGGCCCCGAGGUAGCCUCCUUCAAAGGAAUUCCUUUCUGGAGCAGAGACGUGGAGAAAGUUUGGGACUGAAAAUCAAGAGAUCUCCAGUAAGAGCCGUUUUCCCACCCUGUGGCCUUGACCAAGUCACUCCUCUCUGGGUAUAAAUGUUCUCAGCUGUAAAAUAAACAGGGCUUUUGGCUGUG